CCUACGGUGGGCAGCAGUAGGGCAUUUUGCGCAAUGGGCGAAAGCCUGACGCAGCAACGCCGCGUGAACGAGACGCCCUUCGGGGUGUAAAGUUCUGUCAGUGGGGACGAACAAUGACGGUACCCACAGAGGAAGCACCGGCUAACUCCGUGCCAGCAGCCGCGGUACUACGGAGGGUACAAGCGUUGUCCGGAAUCAUUGGGCGUAAAGAGUUCGUAGGCGGCAUGUAAAGGCAGGUUGUAAAGGCGCAGGCUCAACCUGUGUAUGGCACUUAAUCAUUGCAAGCUGGAAUGCGGUAGAGGUAAAGGGAAUUCCUGGUGUAGCGGGGAAAUGCUUAGAUAUCAGGAGGAACAUCGGUGGCGUAAGCGCUUUACUGGGCCGUAAUUGACGCUGAGGAACGAAAGCCAGGGUAGCAAAUGGGAUUAGAUACCCUUGUAGUC
rnacentral:rRNA from 1 species